GGUCGGGCGGGGGUUCCGGGCCGGGGUCCCGGUGGGGACAGUGCGAAUUCCUCAUUCAAGGGUGUCUGGGAUUCGAGAAUGAGACGGGGGCAAAAGGAGGCGCCGACCCCGCGCUUCCUCGUUCGGGAGCCCCGCGGGCUGCAGCACCGGGGGCCGUCCCCGAGACCGCCGAGCAGGGCAGAGGCCGAGCCUUCGGUGCGGGUCUCGGCUGCCGCGGGUGGGCUCCCCGCCGGCCGCUCCCCGUUUGUUGUGCAGUGAGGCCGCUGGCGCCUCCGCCGGGACCUGCGUUCCGAGCCUCCCGGGAAAGAGGUGAACCGCAGCGGCGGAACAGCUAACACCGAGACCCCGGGGUCCUGGCGGAGGCCCUCCGCACGGCGAGGGGCGCGUGGCGGGUGCCCCCCCCCCCCAAGGGAAAGCUCAACAGAGCAGGGCUCGGCGGGGGUAGAGGCGGCGACGCGCUGGGCCUCUGCGCCCCGCAACCCACAGCUGCCUUCUCGUCUGAAUUCCAACGUCGACAGAGCGCCCGUGGCCUUGGCGGUAGCCCCCCGCUUGCCACCCCAGACGGCCAAGGCGCUUCCUUGCUGAUCGCAGCCUCUGCUGCUUCCGGCCACAGGUGCAGAGGGAUCGCCCCCAUCCCCCCAGCGGCUCCAGGAGCCUGGGCAGACCGUCCUCAAGGCCAGGGCCCUGGCCUGGCCGGGCCCUGCCCCCGCGUGGCCAGAUUUAGAACCGAGAACAGGUCAGGCAUCACAGAUUCCUGCAGAGACAAGGGCGAAGAAGGGGGAAUCAGACGCAAGUCCAGAUCCUGGCCCUGCCCUGCAGACCCUUGGGGACAUUUGGGAGCAGACCUUUAAAAAUCCGCCAACGAAUUCCGGGGUCGGAUCGCGCGGAUCCGGAGCCCUCCGCUCACCCCGCGCCGCCCUCACCCCCGCGGCCGCCCGCCUGCGCGCCGGGAGCGGCUUCGUUCCACCGGGCGCCGCGGAGCUUCGCGCAGCGGAGGCCGCACGGUGGCCCCGCAGAUCGCUCGCUGCCCGCGUGGACGCGGCAGCCUCCUCUUGCUCGGCUGGGCUCGGGUACCGCUCUGCCCUCCACGAGGCCAAGGCUCUGGGACCAAGCUGCAGACACGGCAUUUGCUCCUCCGUCCGUCCAUCCCUCCAUUCUC